GAUGAACGCUGGCGGCGUGCCUAUACAUGCAAGUCGAGCGAACAGAUAAGGAGCUUGCUCCUUUGACGUUAGCGGCGGACGGGUGAGUAACACGUGGGUAACCUACCUAUAAGACUGGAAUAACUCCGGGAAACCGGGGCUAAUGCCGGAUAACAUUUAGAACCGCAUGGUUCUAAAGUGAAAGAUGGUUUUGCUAUCACUUAUAGAUGGACCCGCGCCGUAUUAGCUAGUUGGUAAGGUAACGGCUUACCAAGGCAACGAUACGUAGCCGACCUGAGAGGGUGAUCGGCCACACUGGAACUGAGACACGGUCCAGACUCCUACGGGAGGCAGCAGUAGGGAAUCUUCCGCAAUGGGCGAAAGCCUGACGGAGCAACGCCGCGUGAGUGAUGAAGGUCUUCGGAUCGUAAAACUCUGUUAUUAGGGAAGAACAAAUGUGUAAGUAACUGUGCACGUCUUGACGGUACCUAAUCAGAAAGCCACGGCUAACUACGUG
rnacentral:rRNA from 1 species